rnacentral:rRNA from 1 species
GUUAUUGACUGUACGACCUUGACAAUGCCCAUCGUGGCUGAUCUCAGAAGCUAAGCAGGGUUGGGCCUGAUUAGUACUUGGAUGGGAGACCUCUGAGAAUACCAGGUGCUUUAAUG